rnacentral:precursor_RNA from 1 species
GUAUAUAUAUGUACUUGGAUUUGUACCCUAUAAUAUUUAUCCUAUUUGAAGCAUUUAUUUAAUUUAGGGUUUGUGGUCCAUUUUUUUAGAUAUUCAAUAAUAUUGAAACGAUACAGAGAAAAUAGAAUUUUUGAAUUUGAAUCAGGCUUAUCGAUCAAUCGAAUAAUCAACACAGUUGUUGUUUGCAAAUGUAGCAUCAUCAAGAUUCAUACAUGAAAAUUAAGAGGCAAGGUUAAAUAUGUAGCUUUAAUUUGAAAUGAAAAAUAUAAUAUAUCAUGACCAUGUCUAUUUAUUUCAAAGUGAGAAUCUUGAUGAUGCUGCAUCAGCAAUAAAUAACUAUCGGUGACAGAGUCAGAAUUUUUAAGGAUACUUAAUAUCCAAUAGGGUUUUGUAUAUACUGGGGUUC